rnacentral:lncRNA from 1 species
UACCAAUCUCAAUUUAAUAAUUUCACUCCAAACUUAGGUGCUUAAUAUUAUUGGUUACUUAUAGAGAACUCUUCACUUUUUGAUCGUUACGUUGGAGCUAGGAAGAUGACUAAAAUAGGGUACUAUUAUCAUAUCUCAAACACGUCAAUACAACAUAUGAAAGGAAAAGAUUACAAAGCAUCAAGACAAACAAAGACAUGAUAAUAUCAGCUUAGAUAGCCGUGUUUUAUUUUACUUAUGAUAUACGAAACCAUAUUCUUCAUCAGGCAAAUGAUGAGGUAAGCUUCCAUUUCACUUGAUGCUGAAACAAUACAGANN